AGCGAACGCUGGCGGCAGGCCUAAUACAUGCAAGUCGAACGGUCUCUUCGGAGGCAGUGGCGGACGGGUGAGUAACGCGUGGGAAUAUGCCCUUUGGUACGGAACAACUGAGGGAAACUUCAGCUAAUACCGUAUGUGCCCUUCGGGGGAAAGAUUUAUCGCCAUUGGAGUAGCCCGCGUUGGAUUAGGUAGUUGGUGGGGUAAAGGCCUACCAAGCCUACGAUCCAUAGCUGGUCUGAGAGGAUGAUCAGCCACACUGGGACUGAGACACGGCCCAGACUCCUACGGGAGGCAGCAGUAGGGAAUCUUGCGCAAUGGGCGAAAGCCUGACGCAGCCACGCCGCGUGAGCGAUGAAGGCC
rnacentral:rRNA from 1 species